UACAGAGGGUGCAAGCGUUGUUCGGAAUUACUGGGCGUAAAGGGCGUGUAGGCGGCCAUGCAAGUCAGAUGUGAAAUCCCGGGGCUCAACUCCGGAAGUGCAUUUGAAACUGCGAGGCUAGAGUGCUGUAGAGGAUGGCGGAAUACCCAGUGGAGAGGUGAAAUUCGUAGAUAUUGGGUAGAACACCGGUGGCGAAGGCGGCCAUCUGGGCAGCAACUGACGCUGAGGCGCGAAAGCGUGGGGAGCAAACAGG
rnacentral:rRNA from 1 species